GCGGGUAUGAUGGAAUUGGCAGACAUGCGAGAUUUAGGUUCUCGUGCCGCGAGGCGUGCAGGUUCAAGCCCUGUUACCCGCACCA
rnacentral:tRNA from 1 species